rnacentral:rRNA from 1 species
AUGGCGAUGGAAGGGGAGGUGAUUCGGGAUGGGGUGCGUAUGGCCCUGGAAAGAGGCUUCCGUAGAGUUGUCGUCGAGAGCGACGCUCAAGCAAUCAUAAAGUUGUGGGAGAUAGGAGAUUUUGAUCGUGCUGAGAUUGCUGGUGUUCUUCAUGAGAUCAAAGAGCUGAGUGCACACUUUGAGAGUUUUAGGCUAAUAUUCGUACGAAGAGGCGCUAAUGAGGCGGCUCACUUAUGUGCGAAGCAGGCGACAGGUGUUAGGAGGAGAUGCUUAUGGCUUAAUUGCAUUCCAGUAUUCCUAACGAACACGUUGUAUCGUGAUUGUAUGCCUGUUAGUUAG